rnacentral:rRNA from 1 species
GCUGGCGGCGUGCUUAACACAUGCAAGUCGAACGAACCUUCGGGUUAGUGGCGGACGGGUGAGUAACGCGUGAGAAUCUGCCCUCAGGAGGGGGAUAACGGUUGGAAACGACCGCUAAUACCCCAUAUGCCUACUGGUGAAAUGAAUUUCGCCUGAGGAUGAGCUCGCGUCUGAUUAGCUUGUUGGUGAGGUAAUGGCUCACCAAGGCUUCGAUCAGUAGCUGGUCUGAGAGGAUGAUCAGCCACACUGGGACUGAGACACGGCCCAGACUCCUACGGGAGGCAGCAGUGGGGAAUUUUCCGCAAUGGGCGAAAGCCUGACGGAGCAACGCCGCGUGAGGGACGAAGGCCUCUGGGCUGUAAACCUCUUUUCUCAAGGAAGAAGAUAUGACGGUACUUGAGGAAUAAGCCACGGCUAAUUCCGUGCCAGCAGCCGCGGUAAUACGGGAGUGGCAAGCGUUAUCCGGAAUUAUUGGGCGUAAAGCGUCCGCAGGCGGCUUUUCAAGUCUGCUGUUAAAGCGUGGAGCUUAACUCCAUCAUGGCAGUGGAAACUGAAAGGCUUGAGUAUGGUAGGGGCAGAGGGAAUUCCCGGUGUAGCGGUGAAAUGCGUAGAUAUCGGGAAGAACACCAGUGGCGAAGGCGCUCUGCUGGGCCAUUACUGACGCUCAUGGACGAAAGCCAGGGGAGCGAAAGGGAUUAGAUACCCCUGUAGUCCUGGCCGUAAACGAUGAACACUAGGUGUCGGGGGAAUCGACCCCUUCGGUGUCGUAGCUAACGCGUUAAGUGUUCCGCCUGGGGAGUACGCACGC